rnacentral:rRNA from 1 species
AUGGCUUCCCACCCGUCGCCGCCGCCGGCACACCCCAUACCACCCGCUCCCACCACCAUAAGCGACCUCGACGACGACCUGCUCCGGGAGAUCUUCCUCCGCCUCCCGAACUUCCCCAGCCUCGCCUCUGCCGCCCUCACCUGCUCCGGCUUCCUCGGCGCCGUCCGUUCGUCCCGCGCCUUCCGCCGCCGCUUCCGCGCGCUCCACGCACCCCCGCUCCGCCCUCGCUUCCUCGCACACACAAUAAUGGCCUUCCCCACCUCACGGCGGCCCUUCGCCGGAUUCACCCACCUCCUAGACGACGACAAUUCUGACUGGCGGGUCGAUUUCUCCGAUCCUCCGGCCUACAAUGGCGGCGCCAUGGCCAUCAAACACCCGAGCAUCAAGCAGGGAGUUCGGUACAACCCCGAAACGACGGCUCUGUUUCUCCGCCCCAAGGAUCAUCAUGACAUGCCCGACGGCACCUCCCUUGGGUUCCACACAUUCUGCUCCGAAGAGGAUCAGAGGCCGUCCCGUGUGGUAUGUGUCCGUCAAGACUACUCAUGGGAUAGGCUACGCAUCGCUGUCUUCUCAUCGGACACCAUGGAGUGGCAGAUUUUUCCGGAGAUUGCGACGCUGCUGCCUCAGGGCUUCAGGUGCACAGCCUGCACCGUGCUGGAUUGGUUUAUCUAUUGGCAAACCGAGUCCAUGCUCGGGGUAUAUGUCAGCGAGUACAUUUUCGUGCUCAAAACCGAUUCAUUUCAGUUCUCUCGAAUGGAUCUGCCGCCGCCCUUGAGAAUGGUACACCAAAAAUUUAAGAUUGGUCAGACCACUGAUGGGAAGCUCUGUAUCGUAAAUGAGAAGGAAUGCACACUUUCUGUUUGGAUCUUGACAGCGGGCGAUGACGGCGAUGAGAGAUUUGUGCUGCACAAGAUGUUCCCGUUGCACGCUAGCUUUAUGGAGGUCACCAGCUGCUCAGUGGAAGAUACAAUCUCAGUGCGGCUUAUGACGGUUUUCAAUGGUUUUGUAUACUUUGCACUUCGCCCAUGGAAAAAUUACGUGGAUCAGUUCAAAUCCCCGGAGUGGUUCCUGUCCUUGUCUCUGGAAACAGCGGAGCUGAAGCAGCAUCUGAAGAAUAGAAAGCGACCUAGCUUCCACGUCCAUCCCUACUCGGCCUGGCCUCCUUCUAUGGAAUACAUCUCGGAGGAUUCAAAAUCCGAGGUUACUGGAAAUGUUGGUCUUAAGAGUACAGAAAAUGAUUCAUCAGUCCUUAUAAAAGCACUACAAUCAUAUAAAGAAGCUUUGAUUAAGGAUGGUGACGCAAAUGUUGCAGAGAUAGAGGCCUUCUCACUUUGUAUUGACACUGAAGAUGAGAAGAAUUCUCUUGUGAGGAAAAUUAUUGCUUUAGAUGAACUGUUAAUAACUGUGAGAGAUCGUGUCUUGAGGGCGGGUGCAGACUCUGAAUUCGCAGACUGUCAAUUCUACAGACAGAAGAUCGAGAUCAAAACAGAGAGCUGGUGGCAAAUGUGCAAGGGGAAGUUAUGGAGAGCUUUCUGCGCUAGCUGA